rnacentral:ncRNA from 1 species
UUGGCCCUGCGCCUUGCGAACGCCCAAGUUCCACUUGGGACCCUUAUGUAGCAAGCGCGGGGCCGU